ensembl:lncRNA
AGGAGUCUGGCCAAGAACACUCAAAAUUAUCGGGCAGUUCCUCCUUUAAUGCAUCACCCAUGCGACAGACAUUCACUCCUGUGAACGCAAGUCCUCCAAAGUACACAACCCCUGAAAAGGUUGUGAGGUUAUCCUUUCCAGAAUAUGUAUUGCACACCGACACAGAACUUGAGCAAGUCUGACAACAAUACUUUGAGUUGUCGAAGAGAGGCGAACAGCGCAACUGCCAGAUGUCAAAGGAGCUCAGAUGCCGGCUCAUUCGAAACACCAUGACCAGUAUGAUUGCAAUCCUGAGGGCAAAGGGGGAUAGAGAAUCACACAGAUACCCAUCAAAGCCAGAAAUUACUGCAAUGGCAUAGAGAAUAAUACUGUACUACCCCAUGCUACAGGACCAAGGCCUCCAUACAUGGAGGCGCUGUCUUGAGCAGCCAACAGACACGGAUGAAAUGGAUUCAAGUGACUCAACAAACAUUCUAGAUCGGUCCACAGAAGGAAGUGGCAGCCCAGGCUCAGACUGUAAAGAAAGUGAGUUAGAAGGAAAAAGAAAAUCCCAAAGCCUACCUGAAGAAGCACCUUCUGCCCUGUCCAGUCCUGAUAUUAACAAGUCUGCAGAUGUUGACAGUCCAGACACCAGUCAAGCAACCUUGGCCAAGCACUACAAGGCCCUACAAACUUUGUAUAAAAGAAAAAAUCCAAACCACACUGAUGUUUCUCAUCUCUUGGAUUUAGAAUUUGUAGCCAGAAGAGCAUUCAUUGAUUCAAAUACCGUUCGCGAGGAGGACAGACAUGAGAAGGUUCUAGAAGCAUAUCCUUGUUUCAAGGACAUUGUACACGAGCUUCAACGCAUUUUGGAUAUUGAUAAUAUCAACUUCAUCGAUGAACUGAAGGGAAGAUUUAGUUUUUUGGUGUAUGGAAAAAGGCGCUGAAACCCCCAAUGUGCAUGGACAAAGCUGAACAGGCACUUGAGAUUAUACGUGUGCUGCCAUCACUGUUCCCCUCCACAUCUGCUCCUCCAAAGAGGCUACGAGAUCCGAGUGAGGCUCUGGUGCAUGUCCUCGAGGAAACAGAAGACCCCAAUUCCUACUUAAAGAAAUGCCCUCUCUCCUGCCCAGUCCUGAUCAUCCGUCCGUCCAACUGCCUCCUAGCAGUAGGAGAUGUGGCAAUAACCACCUUUCCAAAAGACAAGCUUACUGAGAGUGCUUUAUACCUUAUGGCCUAC